rnacentral:rRNA from 1 species
UUAGGGGGUUUCCGCCCCUUAGUGCUGCAGCUAACGCAUUAAGCACUCCGCCUGGGGAGUACGACCGCAAGGUUGAAACUCAAAGGAAUUGACGGGGGCCCGCACAAGCGGUGGAGCAUGUGGUUUAAUUCGAAGCAACGCGAAGAACCUUACCAGGUCUUGACAUCCUUUGACCACUCUGGAGACAGAGCUUUCCCUUCGGGGACAAAGUGACAGGUGGUGCAUGGUUGUCGUCAGCUCGUGUCGUGAGAUGUUGGGUUAAGUCCCGCAACGAGCGCAACCCUUGAUUUUAGUUGCCAGCAUUUAGUUGGGCACUCUAAAGUGACUGCCGGUGCAAGCCGGAGGAAGGUGGGGAUGACGUCAAAUCAUCAUGCCCCUUAUGACCUGGGCUACACACGUGCUACAAUGGAUAGUACAAAGG